UACGAAGGGUGCAAACGUUGCUCGGAAUUAUUGGGCGUAAAGCGCACGUAGGCGGCUUAGCAAGUCGGAAGUGAAAGCCCUUGGCUCAACCAAGGAAGUGCUUUCGAAACUGCUGAGCUUGAGUAGUUAAGAGGAUCGCGGAAUUCCCGGUGUAGAGGUGAAAUUCGUAGAUAUCGGGAGGAACACCAGUGGCGAAGGCGGCGAUCUGGGAACAUACUGACGCUGAGGUGCGAAAGCGUGGGGAGCAAACAGG
rnacentral:rRNA from 2 species